AUUGAACGCUGGCGGCAUGCCUAACACAUGCAAGUCGAACGGCAGCACGGGAGCUUGCUCCUGGUGGCGAGUGGCGGACGGGUGAGUAAUGCAUAGGAAUCUGCCCAGUAGCGGGGGACAACUUGGGGAAACUCAAGCUAAUACCGCAUGCGCCCUACGGGGGAAAGCGGGGGACCUUCGGGCCUCGCACUAUUGGAUGAGCCUAUGUCAGAUUAGCUUGUUGGUGGGGUAACGGCCUACCAAGGCGACGAUCUGUAGCUGGUCUGAGAGGACGAUCAGCCACACUGGGACUGAGACACGGCCCAGACUCCUACGGGAGGCAGCAGUGGGGAAUAUUGGACAAUGGGGGAAACCCUGAUCCAGCAAUGCCGCGUGCGUGAAGAAGGCCUUAGGGUUGUAAAGCGCUUUCACCUGUGAUGAUGAUGACAGUAGCAGGAGAAGAAGCCCCGGCUAACUCCGUGCCAGCAGCCGCGGUAAAGUAGACG
rnacentral:rRNA from 1 species